UGGGGAAUAUUGCACAAUGGAGGGAACUCUGAUGCAGCAACGCCGCGUGCGGGAUGACGGCCUUCGGGUUGUAAACCGCUUUCAGCCAUGACGAAGCUUUUGUGACGGUAGUGGUAGAAGAAGCACCGGCUAACUACGUGCCAGCAGUCGCGGUGAUACGUAGGGUGCGAGCGUUGUCCGGAAUUAUUGGGCGUAAAGAGCUUGUAGGCGGUUUGUCGCGUCGAUAGUGUAAACACGCAGCUUAACUGUGUGCCUGCUGUCGAUACGGGCUGACUAGAGGAGGGUAGGGGAGAAUGGAAUUCCCGGUGGAGCGGUGGAAUGCGCAGAUAUCGGGAGGAACACCAGUGGCGAAGGCGGUUCUCUGGACCUUUCCUGACGCUGAGAAGCGAAAGCGUGGGUAGCAAACAGG
rnacentral:rRNA from 1 species